rnacentral:rRNA from 1 species
UACGGAGGGUGCGAGCGUUGUCCGGAAUUAUUGGGCGUAAAGAGCUCGUAGGCGGUUUGUCGCGUCUGCUGUGAAAUCCCGAGGCUCAACCUCGGGCCUGCAGUGGGUACGGGCAGACUGGAGUGCGGUAGGGGAGAAUGGAAUUCCUGGUGUAGCGGUGGAAUGCGCAGAUAUCAGGAGGAACACCGAUGGCGAAGGCAGUUCUCUGGGCCGUAACUGACGCUGAGGAGCGAAAGCGUGGGGAGCGAACAGG